UACGGGGGGGGCAAGCGUUGUUCGGAAUUACUGGGCGUAAAGGGCUCGUAGGUGGCCAACUAAGUCAGACGUGAAAUCCCUCAGCUUAACUGGGGAACUGCGUCUGAUACUGGAUGGCUUGAGUUUGGGAGAGGGAUGCGGAAUUCCGAGGUGUAGCGGUGAAAUGCGUAGAUAUCUGGAGGAACACCGGUGGCGAAGGCGGCAUCCUGGACCAACACUGACACUGAUGAGCGAAAGCCAGGGGAGCAAACGGG
rnacentral:rRNA from 1 species